UGAGCGCCGUCUAUUUACGCUGCUUCAUGAUUAUUAAUGAGCAUAAAACCUUUAAGAGCGUCCAGUGGCGGGAGGCAGGAGGGGGCGUGGCCCCCGGGGCGUCUCGUGCGGGGAGGUGAGGCGCGGCGCAGCGCGGCGCGAACUUGUUUUGCGUGGCUUGAGAGUGAGUGAGUGAGUGAGUGUUGUGCUGCGCGGCUGAAUGUCGGGAUUGCGCUUCCCGUUUGACAAGGAGGAGGAGAAAGAAGGAACAGCCGACACAGACAGACACACAGACAGACAGAGAGAAGCAGAAGUACUCACAGGUCGUAUGACAGGGAUGCGGAGCUCUGGACUCGGCUUCUUGACGGAAUAAAUAAAAGCGCGCGCCAGUGAGGACAGCAGUGACAGGAUGUGGAGAUGUACCUGAACAAACACACUUUCUCUAAAAAUACUUAACCCAGGCUUUGUGUGAUGCCUCCAGACAGCCCCAAGUAGAAGAAGGUAAGGUGUUGGGGAAAGAUACAGUAUGUGUGAAGAGUGUAUAAUGACAGCACCCAGUCACUCAAAGGCGGAGCAGUUUCAGUGUCAGCACUCAAUAGUUUAGUGUUUUCCAUUCUUGUGCUGCACAUUUUAUUGUAUUUAAGAGCAUUAUCUACAUCAAGCCCCAGGUCUGAUUGAUAAGUGGGAACGGAAAAGGCAGAGACGUUUGCCAGAAGUGAGUGGUAUUCUCGAUCGCUAUCUUCUCUAUCUGUCUGUCUAUUUAGCUGUCUGCCUGUCGGCUUGUUUCUGUCUCUCUAAAUCUGUCCGUAUCUUCAAUCUCCACUGUCUAGCUCCCUACCUAUCUAUGGUGGUUGUGUAGAUUGCUUGCUACACAUGUGCUUAAGUUGCAUGUCUUCAUAGAAAUCGAGGUUUUGCACUGAUCUGAGACCAAUUUCUAAAAAUCAAGAUGACAUUUGUCUCCGACAGCUCCCUGAUGAAAACUUGAUUGCACUGUUCCCGUUUUCAUUUUGCUUUGCUAUAUUUUACAUUUAAUAGAUCAGUUUAAUAAAAACAGACAGGAAGAGGGCUGCACACAGCGGAGAGACUUUGUAGUGCUUGAAUAAACUCUAGAUGUAUGUGCAUGAGUGGUCAACCACAAACUAGAACUGAAUUCAGUAACCCUGAACUCAGGAGCAGAGAGAGAGAGAGACAGAGAGAGAGAGGGACUCACUGAUUCAGAAUGUAGCUCUGUGGUAGGAGAGCCGUAGAGACAUUACAGAGAGCACUUUAGUCAGGUUUAGUGGAACGUCAAUCAUUCUGCUUCUUAUUAUACUUUGAUACUUACUAUUCUUUCUAUAUAUGACUUGAGCCUAUGAGGUUGUAUGUGACCUUACGUUCACACUGGAAAGUAACAUGUUGCUCGUGUCGCUUGUAGUUUGCCUCUUGCAAAUGCUGCUGUUGUUGAUUAAGGGUAUGUACUGUCCACAAUUUUCUUUAGUUCUGAUGAGAAAUGGUAGCUAAAAUGUAUAAACUAAAGUGCACUAUAUAAUUUAUACACACCACUUUUAUAUAAAAUGUGUUUAAGUUUGACUUAUGUGAUAUGUGCUAGGCUUCACACUAAUUUGUUGGCAGAGUAGCAAAGAAAAGUGAUCUAUGUAUGCUCACCAGAGACACCAAUCAUCUCUGAUACUCCCUUCCAAAGUGUAUUGUUUUUAAUACGCAUGUUCUGUCCGAAUACUCGAUUCUGAUUGGCUGUAAGGUGUGCGUUCAGUCCAUGUAACGCACAGGUAGUUCCAGUCCGUUUAAUCACCGUUCUAAAUUAAUGCGCUGCCUAUAAACAACAGUACAGUAAUAUACAGUCACAGUUGCAUACAGUAGUUAAAAUCAUUAUUAGUAGAGACGCUGCAUAGACGCUGGUAAUUCACACAUGCACAAUCUCUCUCUCUCUCUCUAUUUAAUUAAUUUAAAUAAAUGUAAUCUUAUCGCACUACCUUAUCUCUGUGUAUGAUUUAGAGCAGGCAGCAUUCUUGAUCUAAUGUCCCGUAUAUAAACUAACUAACCAGAAUUAACUGUUAUUUUUAUCCUUUCAGUCAAAUUUUGCACUACAAAUAUCACUGACAGCUUUAACUUGUCAACGCUGGCAAGUGACCACGGAAAUAAGCAGGAUGAUCCACGGUGUGAAGGUACACGAUGCGGUACACGAUUUUAAUGCACUCCGCUUCGCCUCGGGUGUUUCUUUGCUUUCACGUCAUGCAUUAAAAUCGUGUACUGCACACCUAGCCGUGGAUCAUCCCUUAUAUAUGUCUCUAUAGUCAGCUACUGAGAGUUCAUAUUAUAACAGGAUAAGAUGAAAGCAUGGUUUUAAUUUUUUCUUCAAUUUUUGUACGUGAAACAGUAAAUGGAAACUAAUUGUAGGGAACAUUGUGAGUAGAGAAUUGAAGAAACUGAGGACCACACACACCAUAGGAUUGGUCCAAGGAGUCAGUUGGGCCAAUCAUUUAAAGUCAUUGCUUUACCUCCUCGUACAUAAUUUUGCAUAGAAUUGAGAAGAUCCUAAUUCAAAUGUUGCACUGUUGCUUUGUUGCUGAAGUUAUGGCUCAAUGUCUCGCUGGUACAUUAUAGCGUGAUCGUUGAUUUGUCGCUUGCUAGUGUGAACAUAGGGUGAUCUCAUAGUUGGUGUAAACAAGCCAGUCUGUAAUUCCCAAAGCUCUCAGCCUGUAAGCUCUGACACAAUCUUACUCUCAGCCUCUUAAAACCCUCGAUACACAUUCAGUCACUACAGUUGUUCGUGUUAAGCUCCCGUGGGUUUAGUUCUCAUUGACAUCAUAAGCUUAAAGGAAAAGAUAUAGAGAACAGUAUGUUCACCCACACCUGUGUGUGUGUUUUUUGGUUGCAGGAACCCUUUGACUGUCUGAUAUUAGGAUGAAUAAUUGCACUGUUGUAAUCUUCAUUCCAUUACAUGCUGUGGGUUAAUUUGGCUUUACAGAGUGCAUUUGAAAAGGAGCAGAUGCGUUUUAUCAAAUGCUGACUCACACAUUUUUACCCACUGGCUCGUACAAUAUACAAUAGCUAAGUGUGGUUUUAUUUUUUAAUCUGAUGCCUUGAUGAAGUGACUUCAGCCCAAAAAGUAAUCAAUCAACGUGACAUUUCUGAUGACUGAGCAGAUUUUUACACACUAGUGUUCAACAUAUUCUCUUUCCAACCUCAAAAGAAACAGAUUGUUGAUUUCUGAGUAGAAAGAAGGAGAGAGGAAAAAGGACAGAGAGUGGGAAGGGAAAGGCCCUGACCCCCACCGGUAUUCCAGCCCCACACUGAUGGAAGAGUUUAUGAAACUAUAGCAGAGAGUAAGAAAGCCAAUAGCUUCUCUUAUAGAUUUACUGCACUGAGCCUCUGAGAUUAUUGAAUAUGAGUCAGAGCUGGAGGCCCUAGGAUAUCAAAUAUUGUGGUCUGGGAUAACCUGAAUUCUCAAUCUCAUCCUCAUGCUCAUUUGCUCUUUAUAUGCUUUUUGGAUUUUAAACUUUUUAGUCCAUUCUUCAUCUGUCAUUGUUGGAAUGUUAUAUACCUCUUAUUCAAUUGAAAUGUUUUCAAAAAGUGUUUUGCUUUUUAAAAUCUUUUUAAAUACACUUUAGUUGAAAACGCAUAAAUAGCUCAUUUUAACACAUAUUUUUAUAUUUGGUGUAUCAUCACUUCAAACUAGUUCUUAAAAAGUGGUAGCUAAUGUAAUAAUGUAUGGCGAGCUAGUUUCAUAUUUAAAUCCACCAAUAUAGACAGAUAUGGGUGAUUUUGUCAUUACAGAACUCAACACAAAAUCAAGCAAACUCUGCAAUAUUCAGAGGAGCUUUCAAGCUUGCAAAUGCACAUUCAGUCAAAGCUGUCUUCGAUUCAUGUACGUCGAACACGAGUACAGCUAAAAGGUCUCAUUUACCAACAAUCACUGUGAAAGACCGUGCAAAACAAUUUGGUUCAAUUGCAAUUUCGCCAGUUCAAAAAGCUCAGCAAAUUGCAUCACAUAUCAAGGAUUUUUGGCCGCAACAAUCACACAAAAAAACCUCCUUUUUUUUGUUUAGAUAUAUUUAUUGGGAAUAUACAUACAUAUGUGAAAAAUGAAAAUGCAUUAUAGCAGAAUCAGAACAUUCCCUCAUAACAAUAAAUAUAUUAACAGUAAUUAACCAACCCACAUGCUACCAUCAGUCAGAAUCUUUUGGUGCAACUAAAGGUGGGAAACCAACAAUAAAUGAUUAAAAGUAAAUGAGAAUAUUACAAUCCAGAAGUAAUAAAUAAAAAAAAAAGUCCUGUACAGACUGUAAUAUGAUAAAAAUACUUGAAGACCUUUCUAUGAUGUACAGUAUAUACACUGCUGUGAAAAAUUAUUUGCCCCAUCCAGAUUUCUUGUGUUUUUGUGUAUAUCUCAUACUAAAUUGUGUCAUAAAUUAAAAGAAAAUUUAAGAUAAAACGAAGGCAACCUGAGUAAACACAAAAUACAGUUUUUAAAUGAUAGUUAUUUAUUAGCAAAAACCAAAAAAGUUAUCCAAUACCAAUUGAGCCUGUGUGAAAAUCGCACCUGUAGUUACUAAUUGAUGAAAUCAAUGAAGCUGCAUUCAUAAUAGGGUUCAGCUAGAGUAGACACAACCAGGCCUGAUUACGGCCUGACCUGUUCAAUAAAUUAAAACUUAAAUAGAACUUUUACAACAGCAUGAAGCUGGUUGAAAGAUCUUACCCAGUAACACACUAUGCCAAAGUUGAAAGAAAUUCCAGAAAUUAUGUGGAAGAAGGUGAUUGAAAUACAUCAGACUGGGAAGGGUUACAAAGCUAUUUCAAAGGCUCUGGGACUCCAAAGAACUACAGUGAGAGCCAUUAUCUCCAAAUGGAAAAACUCUGCACAGUAGUGAAUCUUCCCAGAACUGAAAGACCUUCCAAAUUCCUCCAGGAACACAGCAACUACUCAUCCAGCAAGUCACAAAAGAGUUAAGGACAACAUCAAAGGACCUACAGGCCUCUCUUGCAUCAAGAAAGGUAACUGUUCAUGACUCCACUAUCAGAAAGACACUGGGUAAAAAUUUAUUUAUGGAAGAGUGGUGAAGUGAAAACCACUGCUAACCCAGAAGAACAUUAAGGCUCGUCUGAAUUUGCCAAAACACACCUUGAUGAUCUUCAAACCUUUUGUGGAUAUGUUCUAUGGAUUGAUGAGUUGAAAGUGGAACUGUUUGGAAGACAGGGGUCCCAUUACAUCUGGUGUAAACCAAACAUAGAAUUCCACAAAAAGAACAUCAUACCUAUGGUCAGGCAUAGGGAUGCUUUACUGCUUCAGGGCCUGGGCAACUUGCAACAAUUGAGGGAAAUAUGAAUUCUGCUCUAUAGCAGAAAACCCUAAAGGUGAAUAUCCGGUCUUCAGUCUGUAAUUUGAAACUCAAGCACAACUGGAUUAUGCAGCAAGACAAUGAUCCAAAGCAUAGGAGUAAGUCCUUGUCCUAGAAGUAAGUAAAAGACUGAUCUCCAGUUAUCGGAAGUGGUUGUAGUUAUUUCUGCUAAAAGUGGCACAACCGGAUUUUAAGUUUAAGGGGGCAAUUAGUUUUUCACAUGGGUGAUAGGUGUUGGAUAACUUAUUUUUGCUUCAAUGAAAAUAAAUAAAUAAAAAAUAUAUUGUGUGUUUACUCCGGUUACCUUUGUUUUAUGUAGUAUUUCGUAUGAAGAUCUGAAACUAUUUAGUAUGAGAUGUACACAAACAAAAGAAAUCAAAUACUUUUUCACAGCACUGUAUGUGUAUAUAUGUAUU
ensembl:lncRNA